GAUGAACGCUGGCGGCGUGCCUAAUACAUGCAAGUCGAGCGAACAGAUGAGGAGCUUGCUCCUCUGACGUUAGCGGCGGACGGGUGAGUAACACGUGGAUAACCUACCUAUAAGACUGGGAUACCUUCGGGAAACCGGAGCUAAUACCGGAUAAUAUAUUGAACCGCAUGGUUCACUCGUUAAAGACGGUUUUGCUGUCACUUAUAGAUGGAUCCGCGCCGCAUUAGCUAGUUGGUAAGGUAACGGCUUACCAAGGCAGCGAUGCGUAGCCGACCUGAGAGGGUGAUCGGCCACACGGGAACUGAGACACGGCCCAGGCUCCGACGGGAGGAAGCAGUAGGGAAUCUUCCGCAAUGGGCGAAAGCCUGACGGAGCAACGCCGCGUGAGUGAUGAAGGUCUUCGGAUCGGAAAACUCUGUUAUUAGGGAAGAACAAAUGUGUAAGUAACUAUGCACGUCUUGACGGUACCUAAUCAGAAAGCCACGGCUAACUACGUG
rnacentral:rRNA from 1 species